rnacentral:tRNA from 1 species
CUCUUUAUAGCCUAGUGGCAUUUUGGUGGUGGGAUAAGACUUAUUAUGAUCAAUAGGUCAUGGGUUCGAUUCCCACAAGGGGGU